rnacentral:lncRNA from 1 species
GUUUGUUUAUUGGGAAGAGCUCUCUGUUGCCUUAGGCAAUGAGCUGAUUCCUGGAGUACACAUUAAUCUGAGCUCCCUCCUAAACCCUAGGGGAACGGGAGUUAGGUGGGGGUGUGGGAGGAAGAUGGGUGGAGCCAGAUGGGGAAGGUUCCCCAGUGUUGUCCUGCUCUCAGUCCAGGUUUGGGAAAAUGCCUGCAGCUUUUCCUUGUGUCCUUUCCUCACAAAGUCUCCAAGUCUCUCGUUAAAUUAGCUCCAGGACUUGGGAGAAACAGUGCCCCUCCUCGGUCCGGGUUGCUUGGAUCCCCAGUGGAAAGGAAGAACCGGAACUAUGGUUUGUGCCUGCCUGAUUGCCAGUGAAAUAUUUUUAACUGCAGAGGUGUUGGAACAGGCGAUGGAUAUGAUCUAAAAGUCCAAAUAGUAAUGAAGAAAAAGAUUGUCUUUUCCUGCACUUCCUUAAACAGUUGUCGGGUAUUUCAUGACACUGAAACAGACAGGGUAAUAAUUGAUGUGUUCAACUGUCCACCUCUGUAUGAUGAUGUGAAAGUGCAAGCUUCCUCUUCGGUGAGUAAUCAAGAAACGGCCUCUGCCACUGUUCUUAUCUGAACUUUUGAAUGGUUUUAUUUAAGGUUUCCUUUACUACAGUUCCCAACAAGGGAGAUGAUAGAUGUCAUCCCAUAGAGGGAGGGGGAGAAAAUAAAUCAGAUCUAUAACAAUUUUUUUAAAAGAACAUAUGUAAUUUGAAUAAUUUUUGUUCAUUUGUUUUUUCUAAAUUGUACAUUUUCUAAAUUUUUCUAAAUUUUUCUAAAUUUACAUGUAUUAAUUCACAAAUCCAAAAAAUAGAAAAUAAAUACAAAAAAAAUAAAAG